GCAAGUCGAGCGGUAACAUUUCAAAGCUUGCUUUGAAGAUGACGAGCGGCGGACGGGUGAGUAAUGCUUGGGAAUAUGCCUUGAGGUGGGGGACAACAGUUGGAAACGACUGCUAAUACCGCAUAAUGUCUACGGACCAAAGGGGGCUUCGGCUCUCGCCUUUAGAUUGGCCCAAGUGGGAUUAGCUAGUUGGUAAGGUAAAAGCUUACCAAGGCGACGAUCUAUAGCUGGUUUGAGAGGAUGAUC
rnacentral:rRNA from 1 species